GGCGGUAGGCCUAACACAUGCAAGUCGAACGAGUGGCGGACGGGUGAGGAAUACAUCGGAAUCUACUUUUUCGUGGGGGAUAACGUAGGGAAACUUACGCUAAUACCGCAUACGAUUGAAUGAGCCGAUGUCGGAUUAGCUAGUUGGCGGGGUAAAUGCCCACCAAGGCGACGAUCCGUAGCUGGUCUGAGAGGAUGAUCAGCCACACUGGAACUGAGACACGGUCCAGACUCCUACGGGAGGCAGCAGUGGGGAAUAUUGGACAAUGGGCGCAAGCCUGAUCCAGCCAUACCGCGUGGGUGAAGAAGGCCUUCGGGUUGUAAAGCCCUUUUGUUGGGAAAGCGGUACCCAAAGAAUAAGCACCGGCUAACUUCGUGCCAGCAGCCGCGGUAAUACGAAGGGUGCAAGCGUUACUCGGAAUUACUGGGCGUAAAGCGUGCGUAGGUGGUCGUUUAAGUCCGUUGUGAAAGCCCUGGGCUCAACCUGGGAACUGCAGUGGAUACUGGGCGACUAGAUGUGGUAGAGGGUAGCGGAAUUCCUGGUGUAGCAGUGAAAUGCGUAGAGAUC
rnacentral:rRNA from 1 species